GAGUUUGAUCGUGGCUCAGAUUGAACGCUGGCGGUAUGCUUAACACAUGCAAGUCGAACGGUAACAGGAGAGAGCUUGCUCUUUUGCUGACGAGUGGCGGACGGGUGAGUAAUGCGUAGGAAUCUGCCUAGUAGUGGGGGACAACGUGUGGAAACGCACGCUAAUACCGCAUACGCCCUACGGGGGAAGCGGGGGAUCUUCGGACCUCGCGCUAUUAGAUGAGCCUACGUUAGAUUAGCUAGUUGGUGGGGUAAAGGCCUACCAAGGCGACGAUCUAUAGCUGGUCUGAGAGGAUGAUCAGCCACACUGGGACUGAGACACGGCCCAGACUCCUACGGGAGGCAGCAGUGGGGAAUAUUGGACAAUGGGCGAAAGCCUGAUCCAGCAAUACCGCGUGUGUGAAGAAGGCCUGAGGGUUGUAAAGCACUUUCAUUGUGAAGAAAUAUUUAAGGUUAAU
rnacentral:rRNA from 1 species